UACGGGGGGGGCAAGCGUUGUUCGGAAUUACUGGGCGUAAAGGGCUCGUAGGCGGCCAACUAAGUCGGAUGUGAAAUCCCCAGGCUUAACCUGGGAACUGCAUCCGAUACUGGAUGGCUUGAAUCCGGGAGAGGGAUGCAGAAUUCCAGGUGUAGCGGUGAAAUGCGUAGAUAUCUGGAGGAAGACCGGUGGCGAAGGCGGCAUCCUGGACCGGCAUUGACGCUGAGUGAGCGAAAGCCAGGGGAGCAAACGGG
rnacentral:rRNA from 1 species